GGGUAAAGGUUAAGCACAUACUGGCACGCUUUGACAAUUUAGUUUAUGAACUUUCUUGUCAUCUAUAAUUCAUUUUCAAGCAACACUUAAUAAAUAGCCAUGGCAGAUGGAUAUAUUCAGGCAUGUCUACAAAUCACAAUAUUACGAGUUUUGUGGAAAAAGGCUCACACAUCAUAAAUCUAUUAAAAUGUGCGAACCAUCUAAAUAAUUUCUAAAAUAAUAUUUUUUGUUAUAUUUGGCUUGUUAUGAGUUGCAAUAUAACCGAACAAUUCUUAUGUUAUGCUAGAAUAAGUUUUCAUGAUAUAUCCUAACUUUGCUAUGUAAAACUGCAACUAUACCCAAACGAUUUUUAAACCUGAAAGUGUUUGUUAAUGAUCCUUCAACCAUGGUUAAUUAAAACAUGGUGAUUAUGGCAUCUCUAUAAAUUGUUUCAUCAGAUAUGAACCGGUAGUACAAAUACUGGCAUCACAUGUCGUAUUAACAUACAUGUAUGUGUCUACAUUCUACUCAUGAUACUUCUUGAGGCUACAUGGAAUUCAGUAAAUAAUAGAAUAACUCUGAUAUAUUCACCUAACCCAGCAGGUAUUCACCAAGUCACCUGUGGUUUUUUGUGUUAUCUUCCUUAUCUGUUUAAAUUUUGUUUUGUUUUACUGCUAGUAUCCCAAAGAACAAAUCAGUGUUUACCUGAUUUUGCAAGAAAUUAGCUAAUUGUUUCAUGUUUUGUGGAAAAAAAAUGCUAUGAAGUCAUACUGUUGUCCGUUUUCAAAUGUUUUAUAAUACAAUGACACUUGAUAUGUUACACGUCUUUCUGAACCCUUUCCCACCCAGAGGCAAAUGAAAAUGGUGAUGUGCAAACAGCAUAAAACCAGACCAGCCUGCGAGUAACUCGCAGUCUGUUCAGGUAUUAUGCUGUUUGCUGCUCAUCAGCAUCUAAGGGGUGGAAAUGACGGCUUUAAAACUUGAAUCUAAUAAAAAGGUCUUAAAUUAAAUUUAACUUUCUAAGGGACUACACAUGUGUCAAAAUACUUAUCUAAGAGGUAAUGGGUAAAAAACUGGCUCACCAGGGGCAUACCACGUCUCUAUAACUUUAUUUAUUAUUAAAUGAAAUCAAUCGACUUUUCAUUUAUGUGGGAUGUGCAUUGUUUUUUUAAAUAAUACUUCGUUGUAUACAUGAAUGCUGUCUACAGCUGACCAUUGUACAGUGUACACAACACUGCAGGGGAGGUAUUGAAAGUUCAUAUCUCAAACAGUGUACAUAACACUGAAGGGGAGGUAUUGAAAGUUCAUAUCUCAAACAGUGUACACAACACUGCAGGGGAGGUAUUGAAAGUUCAUAUCUCAAACAGUGUACACUACACUGCAGGGGAGGUAUUGAAAGUUCAUAUCUCAAACAGUGUACACUACACUGCAGGGGAGGUAUUGAAAGUUCAUAUCUCAAACAGUGUACACUACACUGCAGGGGAGGUAUUGAAAGUUCAUAUCUCAAACAGUGUACACAACACUGCAGGGGAGGUAUUGAAAGUUAAUAUCUCAAACAGUGUACACAACACUGCAGGGGAGGUAUUGAAAGUUCAUAUCUCAAACAGUGUACACAACACUGCAGGGGAGGUAUUGAAAGUUCAUAUCUCAAACAGUGUACACAACACUGCAGAGGAGGUAUUGAAAGUUCAUAUCUCAAACAGUGUACACAACACUGCAGGGGAGGUAUUGAAAGUUUAUAUCUCAAACAGUGUACACAACACUGAAGGGGAGGUAUUGAAAAUUCAUAUCUCAAACAGUGUACACUACACUGCAGGGGAGGUAUUGAAAGUUCAUAUCUCAAACAGUGUACACUACACUGCAGGGGAGGUAUUGAAAGUUCAUAUCUCAAACAGUGUACACAACACUGAAGGGGAGGUAUUGAAAGUUCAUAUCUCAAACAGUGUACACAACACUGCAGGGGAGGUAUUGAAAGUUCAUAUCUCAAACAGUGUACACAACACUGCAGAGGAGGUAUUGAAAGUUCAUAUCUCAAACAGUGUACACAACACUGCAGGGGAGGUAUUGAAAGUUCAUAUCUCAAACAGUGUACACAACACUGCAGGGGAGGUAUUGAAAGUUCAUGUCUCAAACAGUGUACAUAACACUGCAGGGGAGGUAUUGAAAGUUCAUAUCUCAACAAUGCCUUCUGCAAACUGCUUGGGGAAAAAACACACAAAACUUUUAUGUUAAAUUCCACAGCGCUACUCGAGUAUUAUAUUUCGUGAUAAAUAAGUUGCGUGCAGAUAGGAGCAGUAAACAGUCUUGAUAAAAUUGCUCAAGUCUAUUAACCAGUUCAAGGGAAACCAAUACGACAAUAUGUGCUCGUAACCAUUAGGUAUUGAUACAUGAUGUACCAGGCCUGAUAUUAGGUCUUGAUAUUACAUUUCCGUCACUUUGAUCUCCAAAGUAAUUUUUAAAUGUUCAUGUAAUUCAUGUUCACAGACAACAUCCAUAAUACGGAAAUUGAUAGGACGAAACUAUUGAAUGAACAAUAUGCAUUUGUCAGGCGUGAAUCAAUUGGUCAUUUUGUUAAUGUCAUUGAGUAAAAACAAUACUGUAGGCAAAAAUAGCAAAUGUAAACAGAAUAACAAAUUUUAGCACGUGUUUUCCCGUAUUAUCUUUGCGAAGCUUAAGCCAGAAAUGAUUACUCUGUUUGCUUAUUUGAGUUCUUACUGACAAAUACGGCCUAUCGUUUACUAUAGGUUGUAUAUGACGUAUAUAAUAGUUGAUGACAUUAUUUUGCAUAGUUGUUCAUGUUUGAUACGCUUGCUUUUUUAUUAUUUUUCAUUUUUGCUGUUUUUGCUAAUAAAAAUUGAAGAUAA